rnacentral:rRNA from 1 species
UACGGAGGGAGCUAGCGUUGUUCGGAAUUACUGGGCGUAAAGGGCUCGUAGGCGGCCAACUAAGUCAGACGUGAAAUCCCUCGGCUUAACCGGGGAACUGCGUCUGAUACUGGAUGGCUUGAGUUUGGGAGAGGGAUGCGGAAUUCCAGGUGUAGCGGUGAAAUGCGUAGAUAUCUGGAGGAACACCGGUGGCGAAGGCGGCAUCCUGGACCGACAUUGACGCUGAGGAGCGAAAGCUAGGGGAGCAAACGGG